CGCUCCGUAUCUGACGCGCGCACGUGCGUCAACGCUAGCGCUUUUAUCGAAAUCGGUCGAAAAUAAUAAUGGCAGAAACUCAUCAACUGAAAAUAUCUACAACGAAUUUUACCUUCUUGUGAGCGUUGCUAUUGCCUCGUUAUAGGUUGAUGGCUGAUGCACAGUCUUUCAGCCGGUUAGAGGAGGAAUGCGAUGACAGUGCGAGCAGCAGGCCUGAUCGGCCCCGCCCCACCGUGCCGACGAGACCCAUCACCCAGGGCGAUUCACAGGCCGGUAUUAGACUCCCGCACUGGCACUGCGUACCAAGAAUACCGCUCGGACGAAAACGGGGCUAUCAUGCCUUGACUGUCUCCAAUGUCGACAUCGUGACCUAUGCAGCAGUGCGGCAAGUGGGACCGGGCGGAGAAACGGUCAUCGUCUAAAUCUGAUUGGCAGAGAUAUCAAACAUCUAAAAACAUGAACUAUUAGUUAAAGCAA